GAUUAUUUGUACUCAUUCCAUGUCUCAUAAACUUUGGGCACCAUCCACCCAACACAUCCAGUCUAAACACACCAAACGAUAGGGAAUGGAAAGAGCAGUAUUUGUUUCAACAAUGGCAAACAAAUAUCACUGAAUUAGACCAAGAAUAAACCUAAUUAGACAACGACCUCCCAACCAUCAUUCGUCAGGCUGUAAAGAAGAUAAAGCAGCCAUGGGGCAUGGAUCAAGCAGGACACCAGAGAUGAAUCCAAACACACAGAAAAUUACGCGCGCUGUCUACAAUGACAACAAGCCCCACAUUUCAUUGCAGUACACAGGGCUACAAAGGCACGUACAACAAAGAGCUAGGGAAAAAUUACAGAGACAAGCUAUAUUAGCUCUUCCAUUAUUCAACGGGAGUGUGGCGGGGGCUCGGGCGCAGUUGGAGGCGGGAUGGUGGCGCAGGGAUUGGGGAAGUGGAUCGUGUGGGGAAGGGGAUCGCGACAAUGAAGGAAGGGCACACUUUUACACUUGAGACAACAGGCGAUGAACACGCGCAUGCAGCCUGGAGGUGGAGGGCGAGGGGCCAUCGACCGGAUCCAGCGGCAGCUAGUCUGGGGGAUUUCUAGCAUACCUGGGCUGUGGAUUCCUCCUCCUGUUCUCCUCUGGCGUUGUGGCAGGAAUGAUCUUCAACAGCAGGCGAGGAAGGGAAUCAUGGGGAUGGAGAAUGGAGUCCAUGCCCACGAAGGAGAAGGCGGACGCCGCCAUGGCGGCGCCGGCGGACGCGCACACAGGGAACCCACACAGGCAGCCAUGGAUGCUUUCUCGUCGUUGCUCCGGUCGUCUCCGCCACGCUCCUCUCUCUCCCGCUGCAUCGCCGUGGAUGGGGCGAGGAGAGAGCAGGGACUGCAGCGAUCUGGGCGGAGGACUCGCCUUGGAGAGCGUGGGCACAGACGGGAUUCUGGGGAGAGCGCGAAGACGGGGCGCGCGCGGCGCUCGCGCGGCGAGAUUAGCGGGGGUGGGGGGAGGGCGGAGCCGUGGUGAGUGUGGACGCCCUCCUUACCCUCUUAAGGAGUAGUAGAGAUAAUCG
rnacentral:misc_RNA from 1 species